rnacentral:rRNA from 1 species
GACGAACGCUGGCGGCGUGCCUAAUACAUGCAAGUUGAGCGAUGAAGCUUGGUGCUUGCACCAAUUUGAAGAGCAGCGAACGGGUGAGUAACGCGUGGGGAAUCUGCCUUUGAGCGGGGGACAACAUUUGGAAACGAAUGCUAAUACCGCAUAACAACUUUAAACAUAAGUUUUAAGUUUGAAAGAUGCAAUUGCAUCACUCAAAGAUGAUCCCGCGUUGUAUUAGCUAGUUGGUGAGGUAAAGGCUCACCAAGGCGAUGAUACAUAGCCGACCUGAGAGGGUGGUCGGCCACAUUGGGACGGUGACACGGCCCAAACUCCCACGGGAGGCAGCCGUAGGGAAUCUUCGGCAAUGGACGAAAGUCUGACCGAGCAACGCCGCGUGAGUGAAGAAGGUUUUCGGAUCGUAAAACUCUGUUGGUAGAGAAGAACGUUGGUGAGAGUGGAAAGCUCAUCAAGUGACGGUAACUACUCAGAAAGGGACGGCUAACUACGUG